CCGAAGGGACCGGGGCGCGCAGAGCGGCGAUGUUUCUUCGCCCGUUGUUUGCGGCCCGAGCCGGCGGAGCAGCUUCAGCUGUACAUUCCUGGGCAGUGAAUAAUAUCGGCUGAGAUUAUGCUGCAGUACCACAUCUACUACAAGCAGAUUAUAACGAUUGAAUAUAACCUAAUUAGGAAAUGCUGAAGGCUGCUGGGUGCGGAAGGGGGCUGGUGGAGCGUCGCUUUGUGUGACCUUCGCUGCCCGAAGAAUGAGAGCUCACGGGGGAUAAAAUAAAGGUAGCGAUGCCGACCUCAGCCCCGAAUCCCCGUGUCGCAAAUGCAGCUCACAUCCCUCCUGCCGUGGCCGCUGAACUGGACAAGUGCUCUCCAGCUCGCGCUUCUACGAAACGCUGCUGCAAACACCUUGGGGAUCCAGCAGGACAAGCCACAUUUGGUCACAUCCUUCUUUUUGAUCCAGGCAAGCUCUCAGAGGAAAAUUUAAUCAUAUUUGGGAUUUCGAAGAGCUCUUGAUAGUCUCCGGUGACAAGAGUGCUCUCUCCGCAGCCCCCUCAGCGCGUGACUGUGUGACCCUCGCAAGCGCAGCUGAGGCGGUGAGCUGUAGUUCCCUUUUCAGCUGGCUCAUUUUAAGUGGAAUUUAGGAUAAUAAGACACUAUAUUUUGUUAGAUUUAUGUAAUUAUAUAAGCGCUGCUAAGACUACAAAUAAAGCCUUAGAUCAUUGUGAAAUAGCAAUAGCAGUCCAAGAAAAACCCCAAGUUACCAGAAGAAUGUUCACUUAUGGAAAGAAAGAUAAAUAUUUCUAGGACUCACAUCAUAAUUUUAGCCCUAUCUGAAGGAAUAUUUUUUUUCCAGUUUAUCUUUUUACCUUUGGUAAUGAGAAGUUACGGUUCUUGCCCUGAGGAACUCCAGUUUCCAUUUAGCUUUCACACAACUGCAUGACGGGAAUGCAGCCCUCCGUGCCGCCGCGUGGCUUUCCCGUGGCUGAAGAUGGGCUUGUCUGGCCCUUGGUGAGCCCCAGUUAACACAAAAGCAGAGCAAAGAAAAAAAAAUACAUUUUGGGUUGCAUAGUGAACUUCCCUAUGCAUUCUUCACCAGAAAUAAUAUAGCAUCGGAUCAAAGAUUAACAUUGAAAAAGGCAAAUCUUUUGCCAAGAUUGUUAGUGUCAAGGAAUUUAGUCAGCUUGUUUGACAUCCAAAAAAAAGGCAUCCAAAAAUCAUGAGCCAAUUUCCCCCCAAAUAACAGGAUUUUAAGGAAUAAAAAUAUUGGUGCUAUUUUUAUUCCUUGAUGUUAGGUACACUUUGUGUGACCUUCUACCUCGUCUGUGGCAUAUCUUGCUCUAAGAACAGCGUAUGAUAUUGUAUUUCAUUCUCCUUAAAGACCUGAGGUGUCCCAGGAAAAUCAGCAGAACUCCCUGACAUUUAACCACUUUCCAUGCAGUUUUACUCAAACCCCAAAUAUUCAUAAAUAACAAUCGUUCUGUAUGUAUAUUAUAUUAAUCAGUGUAAGUUUUCGCAUGAAUAUGGUGGUGUCUGUUUACAUAUAUGCAUAUUAGCAUUAGCUAAAAUGGAGAUUUAUUGCUGUUUAAACAUAAGCUAGAUACUGUACUUCUUUAUUUAGCCUUGCCAGUCCAAACAAGUCCCAAAACGGGAAUCAAGCUUUAAGGUCAGCCGACCACGGUAUUAAAAAAUAAAUAAAUGCUGUAUGCUGUUUUUCUGA